rnacentral:tRNA from 1 species
UCUCUACUGGCUCAGACAGUAAAGAACCUGCCUGCAGUGCAGGAGAUGCAGGUUCGAUCCCUGGGUUGGGAA